UACGGAGGAGGCAAGCGUUAUCCGGAAUUAUUGGGCGUAAAGCGUACGUAGGUGGUUGGCCAAGUCUGCUGUCAAAGGGUGGGGCUUAACCUCAUACAGGCAGUGGAAACUGGCGAGCUAGAGUGCGGUAGGGGUAGGGGGAAUUCCCAGUGUAGCGGCUAAAUGCGUAGAGAUUGGCAAGAACAUCGGUGGCGAAAGCGCCCUGCUGGGCCUGCACUUACACUGAAGGACGAAAGGUCGGGGUGCUAAAACC
rnacentral:rRNA from 1 species